rnacentral:rRNA from 1 species
UACGUAGGGUGCGAGCGUUAAUCGGAAUUACUGGGCGUAAAGCGUGCGCAGGCGGUUUUGUAAGCCAGAUGUGAAAUCCCCGGGCUCAACCCGGGAAUGGCAUUUGGGACUGCAAGGCUGGAGUUUGGCAGAGGAGACUGGAAUUCCUGGUGUAGCGGUGAAAUGCGCAGAUAUCAGGAGGAACACCGGUGGCGAAGGCGGUUCUCUGGGCAUGUCCUGACGCUGAGGAGCGAAAGUGUGGGGAGCGAACAGG